GCGGGAAUAGCUCAGUUGGUAGAGCACGACCUUGCCAAGGUCGGGGUCGCGAGUUCGAGUCUCGGUUUCCCGCUCCA
rnacentral:tRNA from 1 species